rnacentral:piRNA from 1 species
UGGGGCUCACUGUUUCUAUUCCGCUC